ACCCUCUCAGGAUCGCACCCGGAGGGUUUCCAGUAUUCUGCCAGCCUUGGCUAUGGGAGAAAGAGUCAAGCAGAGGCAUACCCACUCCAUUCCUAGUUUGGCCAGUGGCUAGCAAGUGGAAGGCAAUCUGCUACAAGU